rnacentral:hammerhead_ribozyme from 1 species
AUCCAGUUGACGAGUCCCAAAUAGAACGAAAAGCGCGUCCUGGAU